CCAUGUAAUGGGCUGCCACCAUUAUCUAUUGUAUCUUUUUAUCCAUUUUGUCUUUUUAUCCAUUUUAUCCAUUUUAUCCUUCUGUUUAAUUUUUGUGUUGCUCGGGGAGCCAAAUGCAACGGAAUUUCGUUUAGAAUUGCAUCUAUCGAUGUAUUUCUAAAUGACAAUAAAGUUUUGAUUGACUGUGAAACUCAGCGG